rnacentral:rRNA from 1 species
GACGAACGCUGGCGGCGUGCUUAACACAUGCAAGUCGAACGGAAAGGCCCCCUUGUGGGGUACUCGAGUGGCGAACGGGUGAGUAACACGUGAGUAACCUACCCUUGACUUUGGGAUAACUUCAGGAAACUGGGGCUAAUACCGGAUAGGAGCUCCUGCUGCAUGGUGGGGGUUGGAAAGUUUCGGCGGUUGGGGAUGGACUCGCGGCUUAUCAGCUUGUUGGUGGGGUAGUGGCUCACCAAGGCUUUGACGGGUAGCAGGCCUGAGAGGGUGACCGGCCACAUUGGGACUGAGAUACGGCCCAGACUCCUACGGGAGGCAGCAGUGGGGAAUAUUGCACAAUGGGCGGAAGCCUGAUGCAGCAACGCCGCGUGCGGGAUGACGGCCUUCGGGUUGUAAACCGCUUUCGCCUGUGACGAAGCGUGAGUGACGGUAAUGGGUAAAGAAGCACCGGCUAACUACGUG